GCCCCUGUAGCUUUGACGGUAAAAGCGCUUUUUGCAGGAUUCUGGUUCGAGUCCAGACGGGGGUA
rnacentral:tRNA from 2 species